GUGAAAUUCCGUCGGAAUCUGGGAGGACCAUCUCCUAAGGCUAAAUACUCUCUAGUGACCGAUAGUGAACCAGUACCGUGAGGGAAAGGUGAAAAGCACCCCGGAAGGGGAGUGAAAUAGAACCUGAAACCGUGUGCUUACAAGUAGUCAGAGCCCGUUAAUGGGUGAUGGCGUGCCUUUUGUAGAAUGAACCGGCGAGUUACGAUUUGAUGCAAGGUUAAGCAGUAAAUGUGGAGCCGUAGCGAAAGCGAGUCUGAAUAGGGCGUUUAGUAUUUGGUCGUAGACCCGAAACCAGGUGAUCUACCCUUGGUCAGGUUGAAGUUCAGGUAACACUGAAUGGAGGACCGAACCGACUUACGUUGAAAAGUGAGCGGAUGAACUGAGGGUAGCGGAGAAAUUCCAAUCGAACCUGGAGAUAGCUGGUUCUCUCCGAAAUAGCUUUAGGGCUAGCCUCAAGUGAUGAUUAUUGGAGGUAGAGCACUGUUUGGACGAGGGGCCCCUCUCGGGUUACCGAAUUCAGACAAACUCCGAAUGCCAAUUAAUUUAACUUGGGAGUCAGAACAUGGGUGAUAAGGUCCGUGUUCGAAAGGGAAACAGCCCAGACCACCAGCUAAGGUCCCAAAAUAUAUGUUAAGUGGAAAAGGAUGUGGCGUUGCCCAGACAACUAGGA
rnacentral:rRNA from 1 species